rnacentral:rRNA from 1 species
UAGGGAAUAUUGGGCAAUGGAUGCAAGUCUGACCCAGCCAUGCCGCGUGCCGGAUGAAGGCCCUCAGGGUUGUAAACGGCUUUUAUUCGGGAAGAAGAGCAGGGAUGCGUCCUUGUGUGACGGUACCGAAUGAAUAAGCACCGGCUAACUCCGUGCCAGCAGCCGCGGUAAUACGGAGGGUGCGAGCGUUGUCCGGAUUUAUUGGGUUUAAAGGGUGCGUAGGUGGCUAUUUAAGUCAGUGGUGAAAUACAGCCGCUCAACGGUUGAGGUGCCAUUGAUACUGAAUAGCUUGAAAGAAUUGGAGGCUGCCGGAAUGGAUGGUGUAGCGGUGAAAUGCAUAGAUAUCAUCCAGAACACCGAUUGCGAAGGCAGGUGGCUACGAUUUAUUUGACACUGAGGCACGAAAGCAUGGGGAGCAAACA